ensembl:lncRNA
GGGACGCGGACGGACGGGCCUGAAUCGCUCGCCUUGCUGAAAUGGGAUCCAGGGCGGCCAACUGCUGCAACCGCUGUUAAAGGAGACGACCCCGAGCAGCAGGAGGAGGUUAUUUAUAAGGAGGUUUUUUAGAAUAAGGAAGAAUGCGUCGGGCUCAGUGGUCGCUCCAGGGGCAUAAAUUUUUUCUAGGAUUCCAGAGUAUGGCGGCUCCAGUCCCAGAUUCGGCUCGGCCUACAGACCUCAGCGAUAGACAUGGACGCCCUUCAAAGGUAAUUUGUACAAAGGUCUCAAGCUAUGUUGACGCCGCCUACUAUCUUACUACCUCUUCUUAAAAUUCAUCUAGAGUUCUGUCACCAGUGUUGCCAGAACCCUUUUGACAAGCUAUUUUUUGUCCUUUGUUUGGUUUUUGGUGGUUUUUUGUUUUGUUUUGUUUUUUUUGUUACUUCUGUCAGUGCAAACUCAAGGCACCGAAGAAGAGACAAGUCCCUAUAUACAAUAAGAGCCGAAUCUUCACAGUCAGACGCCUUAAAAGGUCCAGUCUGGGACUCCCACCCACUAUCCCUGGCUCUAGCAGUCACAGUCUUAAGGAGAGAGGGAGCCGGACACUUGAGCAGAGGAGAUGGGAUAUGGGCGUUUGUAUCUGGGGUCCAGAGACCUCUCCCUCCCGACAUCCCAUCACUCCUCACCUGCGUGUAGCCUCCUGGGGCUGCUCUGCUCCCCUGUCCUAGUUUUGGAAGGAGUACGGACUGAACCCUGGAGCCCGGGUACCUGGUCCUGAGUCCCAGCACCCACCAGGACUGGGGCCUCCUCUGAUCUACUCUGAGGACAGAUUCUAUUGGCAGGGACUUCAUUUUUGUUUGGGACUCUGGGUUUGAGAACAUACUCUCAACCAAGAAUCAAAGAAAUUUACAAGGAAAAUGGACCCAGCACAAGGAGGCCGGGUGCGGUGGCCCAUGCCUGAAAUCCCGGCACUUUGGGAGGCUGAGGCGGGUGAAUCACCUGAUGUCAGGAGUUUGAGACCAUCCUGGCCAACACGAUAAAACCCUGUCUCUACUAAAAAUACAAAAAUUAGUCGGGCAUGGUGGCAGGCGCCUGUAACCCCAGCUACUAGGGAGGUUGAGGCAGGAGAAUCGCUUGAACCCGGGAGACAGAGGUUGCAGUGAGCCGAAAUGGCGGCAGUGUACUCCAGCCUGCUGGGUGAGAAGGUGAGACUCCAUCUAAAAAAACAAAACAAAACAAAACAAAAAAACAAAAAACAAAACAAAACAAAACAAGCAAGCAAAACAAGGUAUCAUGAACAACAAGUCAUCAACAGUAGACAACAGAAGCAAAAUUGCAAACAUUUUAGAUGCAGAGUAUUAGGAAGAUUGUAAUACAAUUAUCCUUAUGAAAGGCAGUAAAUAAAAUAAUCUUUGACAACAGGACCUAUGUAAGGCCGGGCGCGGUGGCUCAAGCCUGUAAUCCCAGCACUUUGGGAGGCCGAGACGGGCGGAUCACGAGGUCAGGAGAUCGAGACCAUCCUGGCUAACCCGGUGAAACCCCGUCUCUACUAAAAAAAUACAAAAAAACUAGCCGGGCGAGGUGGCGGGCGCCUGUAGUCCCAGCUACUCGGGAGGCUGAGGCAGGAGAAUGGCGUGAACCCGGGAGGCGGAGCUUGCAGUGAGCUGAGAUCCGGCCACUGCACUCCAGCCUGGGUGACAGAGCGAGACUCCGUCUCAAAAAAAAAAAAAAAAAAAAAAAAAAAAA